GGUCUCUAACUGGACGGAGGUGGGGAUGACGUCAAAUCAUCAUGCCCCUUAUGACCUGGGCUACACACGUGCUACAAUGGGCAGAACAAAGGGCAGCGAAGCCGCGAGGCUAAGCCAAUCCCACAAAUCUGUUCUCAGUUCGGAUCGCAGUCUGCAACUCGACUGCGUGAAGCUGGAAUCGCUAGUAAUCGCGGAUCAGCAUGCCGCGGUGAAUACGUUCCCGGGCCUUGUACACACCGCCCGUCACACCACGAGAGUUUGUAACACCCGAAGUCGGUGAGGUAACCUUUUGGAGCCAGC
rnacentral:rRNA from 1 species